UUUAGCUUCGGCUAAAUGGAUACUGGCGCACGGGUGAGUAACACGUGGAUUAUCUGCCCUUUACACAGACAUAACUCAGGGAAACUUGAGCUAAUAUCUGAUGAGGCCUCCGGGUCAAAGCUUCGGCGGUAAAGGAUGAGUCUGCGUCUGAUUAGCUAGUUGGUAAGGUAAUGGCUUACCAAGGCGACGAUCAGUAACUGGUCUGAGAGGACGAUCAGUCACACUGGAACUGAGACACGGUCCAGACUCCUACGGGAGGCAGCAGUGAGGAAUUUUGGACAAUGGGGGAAACCCUGAUCCAGCGACGCCGCGUGUGGGAUGAAUGGGUUAUGCCCUGUAAACCACUGUCAGCAGAGAAGAAAAGGCUCCUUUGGAGCCCGGGACUGUAUCUGCAGAGGAAGGACCGGCUAACUACGUGCCAGCAGCCGCGGUAAUACGUAGGGUCCAAGCGUUAUCCGGAAUUACUGGGUAUAAAGGGUGCGCAGGCGGUCUUGUGCGUCGAAGGUUAAAGGCCAUGGCUCAACCAUGGAAAUGCCCUCGAUACGGCAAGACUUGAGUAUGAGAGAGGAAGAUGGAAUUCCUGGUGUAGCAGUGAAAUGCGUAGAUAUC
rnacentral:rRNA from 1 species